GGUUCGGUGGUGUAGUUGGUUAUCACGUACGUUUCCUCACUCCUCAACAGUUUCUAUCAAACUUUACUAACAGCAAGUCCAGGUCAGUCUAACAUCUCGUUGGAACACUGAAGGUCCCGAGUUCAAACCUCGGCUGAAUCA